UAUCUCUGUAGCCUGGGGGAUUGGCCCCGGGGUAUCCACGAUCCGGCCUUAACCGGAUGAGUCCAGAGGAA
ncrna:unclassified sequences 2'dG-II riboswitch